CCUACGGGUGGCUGCAGUCGAGAAUCUUCGGCAAUGAGCGCAAGCUUGACCGAGCGACGCCGCGUGCGGGAUGAAGGCCUUCGGGUUGUAAACCGCUUUGGUCCGAAAGAAAGGGUAAAACUUGAUCGAUCGGAGAAACAAGGACGGGCUAAGUUCGUGCCAGCAGCCGCGGUAAGACGAACCGUCCAAACGUUAUUCGGAAUCACUGGGCUUAAAGGGCGCGUAGGCGGCCGAGCGGGUCGUGGGUGAAAUCCCCCAGCUUAACUGGGGAACUGCUUACGAUACCACUGCGGCUCGAGGAAGGAAGGGGCAAUUGGAACUGUCGGUGGAGCGGUGAAAUGCGUUGAUAUCGACAGGAACGCCGGUGGCGAAAGCGAAUUGCUGGUCCUUUUCUGACGCUGAGGCGCGAAAGCCAGGGGAGCAAACGGGAUUAGAUACCCUGGUAGUC
rnacentral:rRNA from 1 species